rnacentral:rRNA from 1 species
GGGGAAUUGUUCGCAAUGGGCGCAAGCCUGACGACGCAACGCCGCGUGGAGGAUGAAGGUCUUCGGAUUGUAAACUCCUGUUGCCCGGGACGCAUGGCUCCAACCUAAUACGUUGGAGUGUGACGGUACCGGGUUAGGCAGCCCCGGCUAACUCUGUGCCAGCAGCCGCGGUAAUACGUAGGGUCCGAGCGUUGUCCGGAUUUAUUGGGCGUAAAGAGCUCGUAGGCGGUUCGCUAAGUCGGAUGUGAAAACUCGGGGCUCAACCCCGAGACGCCAUCCGAUACUGGCGUGACUUGAGUCUGGUAGGGGAGAUCGGAAUUCCUGGUGUAGCGGUGAAAUGCGCAGAUAUCAGGAGGAACACCGGUGGCGAAGGCGGAUCUCUGGGCCAGUACUGACGCUGAGGAGCGAAAGCGUGGGGAGCAAA